GAUCCUGGCUCAGGACGAACGCUGGCGGCGCGCCUAACACAUGCAAGUCGAACGAGAGACGAGGAGCUUGCUCUUCAAAUCGAGUGGCGAACGGGUGAGUAACGCGUGAGGAACCUGCCUCAAAGAGGGGGACAACAGUUGGAAACGACUGCUAAUACCGCAUAAGCCCACGGCUCGGCAUCGAGCAGGGGGAAAAGGAGCAAUCCGCUUUGAGAUGGCCUCGCGUCCGAUUAGCUAGUUGG
rnacentral:rRNA from 1 species